rnacentral:rRNA from 1 species
AUGCUCAUAGCGGCCGUCUACGUCGCAGGAGCGCAGAACAAAAAGCUCAGCCAUCGGCCGGAGAGCACGCGAGAAAUCAAUUCGUCCGACGACAUGGCGGCGGGAGCAGCGGGAGGAGGGAGUGACGAGCUCAAGCUGCUGGGGGCCUGGGUGAGCCCGUUCGUGCACCGGGUGCAGGUCGCGCUGCACCUCAAGGGGCUCACCGGCUACGAGUACGCCGAGGAGGACCUCACCAACAAGAGCGACCUCCUCCUCGCCUCCAACCCCGUGCACACCAAGGUCCCCGUGCUCCUCCAUGCCGGCAAGCCCGUCUGCGAGUCCAUGCUCAUCGUGCAGUACCUCGACGAGGCCUUCCCCCGUUCCGGCCCCGCCCUCCUCCCCGCCGACCCCCAUGACCGCGCCGUCGCGCGCUUCUGGGCCGCCUAUGCCGACGACCAGUUCUUUGCCUCGUGGAUCAAGGCGUUCGUGGGGAUGACGGACGAGGAGAGGGCGGCGGCGACGGAAGCCGCGGUGGCAGCGCUGCAGAAGAUGGAGGGCGCGUUCGGCGAGUGCUCCAAGGGCAAGGCCUUCUUCGGCGGCGACGGCCCGGGGUACGUGGACAUCGCGCUUGGCGGGUUCGUCGCGUGGAUACGCGCGUUCCACGCGGUGGCCGGCGUGAACCUCCUGGACGCCGCCCGGACCCCGUUGCUGGCGGCCUGGGCGGAGCGCUUUGCCGCGCUCGACGCCGCCAAGGAGGUCAUCCCGGACGUCGACCGCAUCGCCGAGUUCGCCAAGCACGAUCUGCUGCCGCUGCUCCAGAAACUGCAUCCGAAAAACUGA